rnacentral:rRNA from 1 species
UUCCUACGGGGGCAGCAGUGAGGAAUAUUGGUCAAUGGGCGGAAGCCUGAACCAGCCAAGUCGCGUGAGGGAAUAAGGCCCUACGGGUCGUAAACCUCUUUUGCCGGGGAGCAAGGGCGGGGACGUGUCCCGGCCCGGAGAGUACCCGGAGAAAAAGCAUCGGCUAACUCCGUGCCAGCAGCCGCGGUAAUACGUAGGGGGCAAGCGUUAUCCGGAUUUACUGGGUGUAAAGGGAGCGUAGACGGCAGCGCAAGUCUGGAGUGAAAUCCCAUGGCUUAACCAUGGAACUGCUUUGGAAACUGUGC